rnacentral:lncRNA from 1 species
AUGUGUGGGGCUUGCAUAUCACCCAGAAGGGGAGGAACCAGGUUUUCGUCAGAGGAGUUCUUGAAUGACCUCAGACCAGAUUGAAUGACCUCAGACCAGAAGGAAUAGGCCAGCAGCGAGAACACAGCCUAGAGCAGGCUAAGAAACUUAAUGGGUAUAGCUACCUGGAUUCUAUUCAUGAUCAGAGAUUUCAUUGGCUUUGAAGCUGUCUCCAAAAUUCCAGUCCAGUCAGGAGGAUGCAGAGGUUCACAGGCAUCAGCCAUGAGUCCAGAGGCUUCUCGAGAGACGAAAUGCUGUUCUGUGCCUGAUGAAAGGCUUGAAACUGACGAGCGGAAAAGAAAUUUGUUCUAUUCUUAAAUGGGGACAAAUAAAUGAUAAAUAUCUUUUCUAACACGAUACACAAUUAAUAAAAACAAAUCAGUUUC